UCUUUUUUUAAACUUUGCAUCAUAUUUUUCCAGUGAAUGUGUGAUUAUUACGCUGGUCCAAGAAACAAACAAACAAACAAACAAUAAACAAAGGCUCAUGUUGUUUACCUCAAGAAUGCGCUCGUUCCAUUACCCAAACAAGUCACUGAUAAUUAAUUGAUCAUUUCUGCAAAUUGAAAUUUUUUUAGUAGAUUACAAUUGACUUGCGAUAUAUUUACAGUAAUUUUGCCAGCUAAACAUUUACUUCACCGUGAGAUAAUUAUUUGAACAAUAUUUCAGAUGUAAACAAUAUCGUGUCAGCCAGAGUCAGCAGUGUAAACAUACUUUGUCCACCACUGAUUGGCUGGUAAGAGAGUUGUGCCGCGUUGAGUGACUAUCUCCAGCUGAUGUUUUUAGUGUAACAACACCAGGGAGACUGUGGCAGCUGUCUGGAUACACUGAGAUGAAGGCCAGAAUUACCAACCCUGCAAACAACCUUUACAUACAGCAACAAACAAACGGAUAAGAUGCCCCAAACUGCCGAAUAUUUGGCACCAUGGCAGGAGGUUCGACCAUCAAAUACCAUCCAUAAUUCCUAGAUGAUCGCCUGAUAAGUUUGUGAGUUAUUAAGACCCUCAUAACUCAGCCUCACCGUCCUCAUCACCAUCAACGGUCGUCACCAUCUCAUCAUCACUAAUCCGGGUGGGGAGUAAAAAAAAGUCACAUCUCACGAGUCUAAGUUUUGUUAGGUAAGGGAGGGAGGGAGG